rnacentral:rRNA from 1 species
GACGAACGCUGGCGGCGCGCCUAACACAUGCAAGUCGAACGGAGCUGAGAGAAGCUUGCUUUUCUUAGCUUAGUGGCGAACGGGUGAGUAACGCGUGAGUAACCUGCCCUGGAGUGGGGGACAACAGUUGGAAACGACUGCUAAUACCGCAUAAGCCCACGAUCCGGCAUCGGAUUGAGGGAAAAGGAUUUAUUCGCUUCAGGAUGGACUCGCGUCCAAUUAGCUAGUUGGUGAGGUAACGGCCCACCAAGGCGACGAUUGGUAGCCGGACUGAGAGGUUGAGCGGCAACAUGGGGACUAAGCCCCGGCCCGGCCCCCUACGGGAGGCGGCAGGGGGGGAUAUUCCAAAAUGGGGAAACCCCGGACGCAGCGCCGCCGCGGGGAGGAAGAAGUUUUCCUGAUUAAAACCUCCUGUUUUAAGGAACGAAAAUGGCGGUACCUAACAAGAAACCCCCGCCUAACUCGGCC